rnacentral:rRNA from 1 species
UACGUAGGGGCCAAGCGUUGUCCGGAUUUAUUGGGCGUAAAGAGCUCGUAGGCGGUUCGGCAAGUCAGCUGUGAAAUCUCCACGCUCAACGUGGAGGGGUCAGCUGAUACUGCUGUGACUCGAGUCCGGUAGGGGAGUGUGGAAUUCCCGGUGUAGCGGUGGAAUGCGCAGAUAUCAGGAGGAACACCGGUGGCGAAGGCGGGUCUCUGGGCAGUAACUGACGCUGAGGAGCGAAAGCGUGGGGAGCGAACAGG